CACGUAGGGGACGAGCGUUGUCCGGAUUCAUUGGGCGUAAAGAGCUCGUAGGCGGUUUGUCGCGUCUGCUGUGAAAACUCGGGGCUUAACCCCGGGCCUGCAGUGGGUACGGGCAGACUAGAGUGCGGUAGGGGAGACUGGAAUUCCUGGUGUAGCGGUGAAAUGCGCAGAUAUCAGGAGGAACACCGGUGGCGAAGGCGGGUCUCUGGGCCGUAACUGACGCUGAGGAGCGAAAGCGUGGGGAGCGAACAGG
rnacentral:rRNA from 1 species